GAUGAAGAACGUAGCAAAAUGCGAUAAGUAAUGUGAAAUGCAGAAUUCAGUGAAUCAUCGAAUCUUUGAACGCACAUUGCGCCCGCCAGUAUUCUGGCGGGCAUGCCUGUUCGAGCGUCAUUUCAACCCUCAAGCUCAGCUUGGUGUUGGGACUCGCGGUAACCCGCGUUCCCCAAAUCGAUUGGCGGUCACGUCGAGCUUCCAUAGCGUAGUAAUCAUACACCUCGUUACUGGUAAUCGUCGCGGCCACGCCGUAAAACCCCAACUUCUGAAUGUUGACCUCGGAUCAGGUAGGAAUACCCGCUGAACUUAAGCAUAUCAAUAAGCGGAGGA
rnacentral:misc_RNA from 1 species